UAUGCUUUGGCUUGUGUUGUCAAAUCGGCAUUAAUGGCAAUUUAAUAUCAGGUUCAACAUGGACACGAUAAAUUUCAUUCAAGAUAGAGCACUUUGUCGACGGGAAAUCCAAUCAAGAAAACCCUGACCCUCAAGCAGCUACUGUAUUUGACCAGCUCACACCAGCUAGGCCUCCUCCAAAACUCAGAUAAAUAUUUGAGCCACCAAAAAAAAAAAAAACGAGAACAGAUCGGUCUGAAUCGUUAAGAACUGAAGCUAACAUCAUAGAGGUACAUCCUUCCAAGAAUCCAUCAAAACAACAUGCUGAACAACUUCAAGAACUCUCUUCAAAAGACCACACUUUCCUGAAAUAAAUAAAAGAUGCCAAUAUUAAAAUAAAUCAGUUACAUGUAUUGUUAAAUAUUUUAAUACUAGCUGUAAAUGCUACUGCCUUUGAUGUUUGCUUUCUACAUGUAUAUCAUAAUGAAAUAUUGACAAGAUAAUAGCUAAUGUUU